UCGAGCGUCAUUUCAACCCUCAAGCUCAGCUUGGUAUUGGGUGCCACCUGGCUAUGGUGCGCCUUAAAAUCAGUGGCGGUGCGUCUGGCUUCAAGCGUAGUAAAUCUCUCGCUUUGGAGGCUUGGACGUGUGCUAGCCAUCAACCCCUAAUUUAUCAAAAGGUUGACCUCGGAUCAGGUAGGGAUACCCGCUGAACUUAA
rnacentral:misc_RNA from 1 species